rnacentral:rRNA from 1 species
ACGAACGCUGGCGGCGUGCCUAAUACAUGCAAGUCGAACGCUUCUUUUUCCACCGGAGCUUGCUCCACCGGAAAAAGAGGAGUGGCGAACGGGUGAGUAACACGUGGGUAACCUGCCCAUCAGAAGGGGAUAACACUUGGAAACAGGUGCUAAUACCGUAUAACAAUCGAAACCGCAUGGUUUUGAUUUGAAAGGCGCUUUCGGGUGUCGCUGAUGGAUGGACCCGCGGUGCAUUAGCUAGUUGGUGAGGUAACGGCUCACCAAGGCGACGAUGCAUAGCCGACCUGAGAGGGUGAUCGGCCACAUUGGGACUGAGACACGGCCCAAACUCCUACGGGAGGCAGCAGUAGGGAAUCUUCGGCAAUGGACGAAAGUCUGACCGAGCAACGCCGCGUGAGUGAAGAAGGUUUUCGGAUCGUAAAACUCUGUUGUUAGAGAAGAACAAGGAUGAGAGUAACUGUUCAUCCCUUGACGGUAUCUAACCAGAAAGCCACGGCUAACUACGUGCCAGCAGCCGCGGUAAUACGUAGGUGGCAAGCGUUGUCCGGAUUUAUUGGGCGUAAAGCGAGCGCAGGCGGUUUCUUAAGUCUGAUGUGAAAGCCCCCGGCUCAACCGGGGAGGGUCAUUGGAAACUGGGAGACUUGAGUGCAGAAGAGGAGAGUGGAAUUCCAUGUGUAGCGGUGAAAUGCGUAGAUAUAUGGAGGAACACCAGUGGCGAAGGCGGCUCUCUGGUCUGUAACUGACGCUGAGGCUCGAAAGUGUGGGUAGCAAACAGGAUUAGAUACCCUGGUAGUCCACACCGUAAACGAUGAUUACUAGGUGUUGGAGGAUUGACCCCUUCAGUGCCGCAGUUAACACAAUAAGUAAUCCACCUGGGGAGUACGACCGCAAGGUUGAAACUCAAAGGAAUUGACGGGGGCCCGCACAAGCGGUGGAGCAUGUGGUUUAAUUCGAAGCAACGCGAAGAACCUUACCAGGUCUUGACAUCCUUUGACCACUCUAGAGAUAGAGCUUCCCCUUCGGGGGCAAAGUGACAGGUGGUGCAUGGUUGUCGUCAGCUCGUGUCGUGAGAUGUUGGGUUAAGUCCCGCAACGAGCGCAACCCUUAUUGUUAGUUGCCAUCAUUUAGUUGGGCACUCUAGCAAGACUGCCGGUGACAAACCGGAGGAAGGUGGGGAUGACGUCAAAUCAUCAUGCCCCUUAUGACCUGGGCUACACACGUGCUACAAUGGGAAGUACAACGAGUCGCAAAGUCGCGAGGCUAAGCUAAUCUCUUAAAGCUUCUCUCAGUUCGGAUUGUAGGCUGCAACUCGCCUACAUGAAGCCGGAAUCGCUAGUAAUCGCGGAUCAGCACGCCGCGGUGAAUACGUUCCCGGGCCUUGUACACACCGCCCGUCACACCACGAGAGUUUGUAACACCCGAAGUCGGUGAGGUAACCUUUUGGAGCCAGCCGCCUAAGGUGGGAUAGAUGAUUGGGGUG